rnacentral:rRNA from 1 species
AGCAGCCGCGGUAAUUCCAGCUCCAAUAGCGUAUAUUAAAGUUGUUGCAGUUAAAAAGCUCGUAGUUGGAUUUUGGGAUCAGAGAGGCCUGGUCUGCCGGAACGGUGUGUACUGGCCUCUCUAUCCUUCCUUCCGGUUUGCUGGCUUCUGCCAUUAAGUUGGUGGGGGCUCAGCUCCGGAUCUUUUACUUUGAAAAAAU